rnacentral:piRNA from 1 species
UACCGUUGAUGACACAUGAACUGAAGUGU